AGUGAACGCUGGCGGCGUGCUUAACACAUGCAAGUCGAACGAGAACGGGCCUUCGGGCUGUCAGCUAAGUGGCGCACGGGUGAGUAAUGUAUAGUUAAUCUGCCCUUUAGAGGGGGAUAACAGUUGGAAACGACUGCUAAUACCCCAUACUCCUUCUGUCUUAAUGAUAGUUGGGAAAUGUUUUUUCGCUAAAGGAUGAGACUAUAUGGUAUCAGGUAGUUGGUGGGGUAAGAGCCCACCAAGCCAAUGACGCCUAGCUGGUCUGAGAGGAUGAUCAGCCACACUGGAACUGAGACACGGUCCAGACUCCUACGGGAGGCAGCAGUGGGGAAUAUUGCACAAUGGACGAAAGUCUGAUGCAGCAACGCCGCGUGGAGGAUGACACAUUUCGGUGCGUAAACUCCUUUUAUAUGGGAAGAUAA
rnacentral:rRNA from 1 species